UACGGAGGGUGCAAGCGUUAAUCGGAAUUACUGGGCGUAAAGCGUACGUAGGCGGCUUGUUAAGCAAGAUGUGAAAUCCCCGGGCUCAACCUGGGAAUGGCAUUUUGAACUGGCAGGCUCGAGUUCUGAAGAGGGUGGUAGAAUUUCCAGUGUAGCGGUGAAAUGCGUAGAUAUCGGGAGGAACACCAUUGGCGAAGGCGGCUAUCUGGCUGGUAACUGACGCUGAGGUGCGAGAGCGUAGGGAGCAAACAGG
rnacentral:rRNA from 1 species